AUGCCUCUCCCCGUCCUGCUCGCCCUGCUCUGCGCCCUACACGCUCCCGCGAGCUCCGCGUCCACGGAGACGUACUCCCUCUCGCCAGGCCAGUCGCUCGCCGGCGACGACAAGCUCGUCUCCAGCGGCGGCAAGUUCGCGCUCGGCUUCAUCCAGAUCCCAGGCAGCGAGAGCAACCCCUCCGGCUCCGGCGGCAACAACACUCAACUAGGCAUAUGGUUCAACCUCAAUCGUGUUCCCAAGCUGACACUGGUGUGGGUGGCCAACAGGGGAGGCGGCCCGGUGGCCGGCGCCGCCUCCCCGGAGCUCACGAUCUCCGGCGACGGCAACCUCGUCAUCGUGGACCGCGGCAAAGUCGCCUGGUCCACCCAAGCCGACGUCACAGCCAACAACAACAACAGGACGGUCCUCCUUCUCCUGGACACCGGGAACCUCGUCCUGCGCAGCGCCUCCAACGCCUCCGGCGUGCUGUGGCAGAGCUUCGACCACCCCACGGACACUCUGCUCCCCGGCGCCACCAUCGGGCUGGACAAGGUCACCGGCCGGAGCCGCCGCCUCGUCUCCAGGAAGAACCGGAUCGACCAGGCUCCGGGCCUGUACUCCAUGGAGCUGGGACGGAGCGGCGUCGUCCAGAUGCUGUGGGACUCGUCCGUGCCGUACUGGUCCAGCGGGGAGUGGAACGGCGAGUACUUCAGCUCUGUGCCGGGGAUGACCGCCCGCCACCUGUUUGGCUUCACGUUCGUCAACGACGACCGGGAGGUUUCCUUCGCCUACCACCUGCUCGACGAAACGAUCACCAUGUACAGCUUCCUGGACGUGUCCGGGCAGAGGAAGGUGUUGGCCUGGCACGAAGCUACGCAGAACUGGGCGACGGUCUACACCCACCCCACCGCGCAGUGCGAGGUACAUGCCGCCUGCGGGCCAUUUACAGUCUGCGACGACAACGCGCCACCGCCUUGCAGCUGCAUGAAGGGAUUCUCCGUGGAUUCGCCUGAGGAUUGGGACCUUGAUGAUCGAAGCACGAGCGGAUGCAGGAGGAACACUCAGCUGAAUUGUGAUAGCAUUAGUAACGGCACCAUGGUUGGCAUGUCUGACAUGUUCUACGCCAUGCCGGCCGUCAGAUUGCCCUAUAAUCCCCACAGCACCGCGGGACAUGUCACCGGCGCAGCCCAAUGCGAGCAGGUCUGUCUGAGCAACUGCUCUUGCACUGCAUAUUCCUUUGGAAGCGGUGGCUGUUCUAUGUGGCAUGGUGGAUUGCUGAAUGUAAAACAACACCAGAUUGAUGAUGCUUCCAGCGGCGAUGGGGAAAUUCUUCACAUCCGCCUCGCGGCAAAAGAGUUCCGGACCCGGAAAAACAACAGUGUAGUUGUCAUUUUGGGUGCCAUCGGUGCAGGCCUCAACGCUUUGGGUAUCUUGGUACUAAUCGUAGUGCUACGCAGGACCAGGAGGAACAAAAGGUACAGUGAAACAUUAGACAAAAUCCAUGGUGGUAGUGGGCUUGUUUCAUUCAGAUACAGCGAUUUGCGGCGUGCAACUAGAGAUUUCUCGGAGAAGAUUGGGGCAGGUGGUUUUGGUUCUGUGUUCAAGGGGUCACUAAAUGAUUCGACCACUAUAGCAGUGAAAAGGCUCUACGGUUGUUAUCAACAAGAGAAGCAAUUCAGGGCUGAGGUGAGUUCAAUUGGAAUCCUCCACCAUACAAAUUUAGUCAAAAUGGUUGGUUUUUGUUGUGAGGGCGACAAGAAGCUUCUUGUCUACGAACACAUGCCAAAUAGUUCCCUUGACGCCCAUCUGUUCAGGAGCAGUGCCAAAACUCUGAAUUGGAGAACCAGAUACCAAAUAGCUCUUGGAGUUGCCAGGGGGCUAGCAUACUUGCACGAAAGCUGCCUGGACUACAUCAUACACUGUGAUAUAAAGCCGCAAAAUAUACUUCUCGACGCGUUGUUCGUUCCUAAGAUCACCGACUUUGGGAUGGCAAAGCUUCUCACAAGGGAUUUUAGCAGGGUCAUGACCACAACCAGGGGCACAAUUGGGUACCUCGCUCCUGAAUGGAUCAGUGGAGUGGCUAUCACGCCCAAAGUCGAUGUGUACGGAUAUGGGAUGGUGCUAUUGGAAAUCAUAUCUGGGAGGAUGAACGCGAACGGAGAAUGCGGCAGCAGUGGUGAUGACAUUGUUUAUUUCCCCAUCCAGGUGGCACGCAAGCUUCUCGAGGGAAAUGUCAUGAGCUUCGUGGAUGAUAGGUUAAACGGUGAUGUCAUCGUCGACGAGGUUGAAAGGGCUUGCAAGGUUGCCUGUUGGUGCAUUCAGGACAGGGAGUUUGAACGGCCAACGAUGGGCAAGAUAGUCCAGAUUCUUGAGGGUCUUGUUGAAGUCGACACCCCUCCGAUGCCUAAGCUACUCGAAGCUAUCGCCGGAAGGUCACACUCAGCAUGCACCUAA
rnacentral:rRNA from 1 species